rnacentral:rRNA from 1 species
GACGUAGGGCGCGAGCGUUGUCCGGAUUUAUUGGGCGUAAAGAGCUCGUAGGCGGUGUGUCGCGUCGGCCGUGAAAACCUGCAGCUCAACUGUGGGCUUGCGGUCGAUACGGGCAUCACUGGAGUUCGGCAGGGGAGACUGGAAUUCCUGGUGUAGCGGUGAAAUGCGCAGAUAUCAGGAGGAACACCGGUGGCGAAGGCGGGUCUCUGGGCCGACACUGACGCUGAGGAGCGAAAGCGUGGGGAGCGAACAGG